rnacentral:rRNA from 1 species
AAUGAACGCUGGCGGCAUGCCUAACACAUGCAAGUCGAACGAACGUUUCGGGCUUAGUGGCGCACGGGUGAGUAACGCGUGGGAAUCUGCCCCUUGCUUCGGAAUAACUCCUGGAAAUGACUGCUAAUACCGGAUGAUGACUGAAGUACAAAGAUUUAUCGCCGAAGGAUGAGCCCGCGUAGGAUUAGCUAGUUGGUGUGGUAAAAGCGCACCAAGGCGACGAUCCUUAGCUGGUCUGAGAGGAUGAUCAGCCACAUUGGGACUGAGACACGGCCCAAACUCCUACGGGAGGCAGCAGUGGGGAAUAUUGGACAAUGGGCGAAAGCCUGAUCCAGCCAUGCCGCGUGAGUGAUGAAGGCCUUAGGGUUGUAAAGCUCUUUUACCGGGGAUGAUAAUGACAGUACCCGGAGAAUAAGCUCCGGCUAACUCCGUGCCAGCAGCCGCGGUAAUACGGAGGGAGCUAGCGUUAUUCGGAAUUACUGGGCGUAAAGCGCACGUAGGCGGAUUUGUAAGUCAGAGGUGAAAUCCCGGAGCUCAACUCCGGAACUGCCUUUUAUACUGCAUCUCUUGAGUCCUGAAGAGGUCAGUGGAAUUCCGAGUGUAGAGGUGAAAUUCGUAGAUAUUCGGAAGAACACCAGUGGCGAAGGCGGCUGACUGGACCUAUAUUGACGCUGAGGUGCGAAAGCGUGGGGAGCAAACAGGAUUAGAUACCCUGGUAGUCCACGCCGUAAACGAUGAUAACUAGCUGUCCGGUGACUUGUCCCUUGGGGGGGCCCACCUAACCCUUUAGCUUCUCCGCCUGGGGAGUUCGGCCCCAGAGUUUAAACCUCAAAUGAAAUGGCCGGGGGCCUGCCCAACCGGGGAACCUGGGGGUUUAUUUGAAGCCACGGGCCGGACCUUACCCGGGUCUGACCAGGUCGGGCGGAUUCCAGAGAUGGAUUCUUUUCCUUCGGGGACUUGCCCCCGGGUGUGCCAGGCCGUUGUCAAGUUGGGUUCGGGAGAGGUGGGGUUAAUUCCGCAAAGGAGGGCACCCUUGCCCUUAAGUUCCCUCCAUCUAUUGGGCUCCUUAAAGGGACCCCCCGUGAUUAACCCAGAGGAAGGUGGGGAUGACGUCAAGUCCUCAUGGCCCUUACGGGCUGGGCUACACACGUGCUACAAUGGCGGUUACAAUGGGCAGCCAUCUCGCGAGAGUGAGCUAAUCUCCAAAAGCCGUCUCAGUUCGGAUUGCUCUCUGCAACUCGGGAGCAUGAAGGCGGAAUCGCUAGUAAUCGCGGAUCAGCAUGCCGCGGUGAAUACGUUCCCAGGCCU